CUCCUCGUGACAUCAUAUCACCCCGGCCUUCCAGCUCGCGCCUGAGUGGCUCCCGCAAAGGGCGGAAUCAAACCUCCCGAGUCUGACUGGUUGGUAGAACCGCCCAUCCCUGACCGACUCCACCUCACUGACAACUGCUGUGUGCCAGCGUCUGGUCUCCGAGCCAGCCUGCGCUUCUCCGGCUGCCGGGGACAUCACGGGGCAGCCAGAGGGCGAGGCUUCCGCUCCUGCUGCACCUCCGGCAGAGCUUGGCACAGGGCGGCGUGGCCUUGGACUCCGCUGGGACACUGCGGAUGCUUUGGUGCAUUCGUGGACGUCUCAGCUCAGUUGAAGUCGACUGAAAGGCUGUCGCUGCGUUCUUUUGUACGUUGUUUCCUUCUUGUGUGUUGAGAACUAGAAAAGUCAGGGGUUGGGAAAGGCAUCGAGCCAAGCCCCCUGAAUCUGUUAAGAAUAGGUGCGAAUUAGUUGUGGCAUGUGUGGAAAUACUGCUUGUGGCUCUCAUCCCAACCCUUCGCGAAAUCAAUGAAAAAAGCCAUUCAAGGAAGUAUUGGCGACCAGGCCGCUAAAGAGGAAAUACAGCGUGUAGAUAGAUUCUGUUAAAUAGGGCACGCCAGGUGUGUAUUUGAGCAACAUGAGAAGGAGGAAGUUUGCUUGCUGUAACACAUUUGGGUCCUACUUAACAAAAAUGGAGAGGAUCGGACGAGGCUUGAUUUCCUUAUUUGCUCUUCAGAUGAUUAUAUGAUUAUGAAAUGGGUAGAAAGCUACAUUUUAAAAGAUACUCAGCCCUUAAGUGGGCAUCGUGUAAUGCUUGUAAUCUCAACAUUAUAGGAUACUGAGGCAGGAUCGCACGUUAGAGGCCAGUCUGGGCAAUUUAGGGAUUUAGCCCAUGUCUCACAAAAACAACCAAAAAAAAAAAAAAAAGCAAAAGUUCACAGGUUCAUAGGACACAUGAACCCAGAAUUAAAUUCAUUUAGUCACCUGGCACAGCUUCCGCCUGGAAAGUGAGAUAUUGUGAAUGUUCCACUUGUUAGAAUUUAAUUAGAAAAUACUUUUUUGAACCCAGGGCCUUCACACUGACUUGCCUUCCCUAGUCCUUUUUUAUUUUGAAACGGGGUCUUGCUAUGUAGCCUGGGUUGGGUUGGAAUUGGAUUUUUCUGCCUCAGCCUCCCAGAGUACUUGGAUUACAGGUGUGUACCACUAUGCUUAGCCACUUUUAGAAGAGUUCUAUGAUUAGGUUACUCAAAAUGUUUUCAAAUCUUAGACCCAGACUUCUCAGUUAUGUGUUAACAGAACUUUAGGCACAAUUCUUUAUUGUUCUGUUAGUGGCUAAUUGCAUGAUUUCCUUCAUUUCAAGCUGAUUUAUACUACUUACAGUAUGAAUGUAAUUUUUCCUUCUUCUAACUCUACCCUUGGAUCACAUUAACUUCAUGGGUUCCAUCUUUGAAAGUACUGCCCAACUUAAGUCAAAGGUUUACCAGUUGUGGUUAAUGUGUGUCAGGCUUAGUUGCAAACUGUGAGAAAAAUAGACUCUUAAUUUAUAAAACAUAAAUCUCUUAAAGCCUC